AUGACAUCUGAGAAUGAUAAGAAAACCAAAUUAGUCAAUGGAACAUUGUAUUUAGUAUAUAUUACUAAGGACAAAAGAGAAAAAAUAGAUUGCUACAACUGAUUUUGGUGGGAGAAAUUCUAGACACACCCGGAUGUCAAAGAACGUUGUUGUGAUCUAACAGCUCAACUCUGUUUCUCAGGGGAAUGACUCUCCAGGAAAUGAAUGACGGGAACAGAC